rnacentral:rRNA from 1 species
CGAACGCUGGCGGAGUGCUUUAGACAUGCAAGUCGUACGAGAAAGUCACCUUCGGGUGAUGAGUAAAGUGGCGGACGGGUGAGUAACGCGUGGGUAAUCUACCCCCAGGUCUGGGACAACUCCGGGAAACUGGAGCUAAUACCGGAUAAGACCACAGAGCCUUCGGGUUCAGUGGGAAAAGGUGGCCUCUUCUUGAAAGCUGCCGCCUGUUGAUGAGCCCGCGUCCCAUUAGCUUGUUGGUGAGGUAAAAGCUCACCAAGGCUUCGAUGGGUAGCUGGUCUGAGAGGAUGAUCAGCCACACUGGAACUGAGACACGGUCCAGACUCCUACGGGAGGCAGCAGUCGGGAAUUUUGGGCAAUGGGCGCAAGCCUGACCCAGCAACUCCGCGUGAGGGAUGAAGGCCCUCGGGUCGUAAACCUCUGUCAGGAGGGAAGAACGUCGUGAGGUGAAUAGCUUCACGGUCUGACGGUACCUCCAAAGGAAGCGCCGGCUAACUCC